GAUGAACGCUGGCGGCGUGCUUAAGACAUGCAAGUCGAACGGAGUGUGUAGCAAUACUCACUAAGUGGCGAAUGGGUGAGUAACACGUAGGUGACCUGCCCUGAAGUGCGGAAUAACAGUCCGAAAGGAUUGCUAAUACCGCAUGUGGUCCCGGGCGUUAGAGAACCGGGUCUAAAGCAGUAAUGCGCUUCAGGAGGGCCUGCGGUCCAUCAGCUAGUUGGUAGGGAGUGGCCUACCAAGGCAACGACGGAUAGGGGACCUGAGAGGGUGGCCCCCACAUUGGC
rnacentral:rRNA from 1 species